rnacentral:rRNA from 1 species
GCAAAGGUAGCACAAUCACUUGUUCUUUAAAUGAGGACUAGAAUCAACGGCAUCACGAGGAUCCCACUGUCUCCCCCCUCCAAUCAGUGAAACUGAUCUCCCCGUGAAGAAGCGGGGAUACAAAUAUAAGACGAGAAGACCCCAUGGAGCUUUAAACCCAACAGCACCCGUUUAUUUUCAUCCUCACAUAAGUUAGGUUAUGCCUGUUUGGUUUUAGGUUGGGGUGACCACGGAGUAUAAAACAACCUCCAUGAAAAAAGGACCAAAAAUCCUUAUUAGAGAAAGACAUUUCUAAAAUUAAUAAAUUAAUUUUUAAUGAUCCGAUAUUCGAUCAACGAACCAAGUUACCCUGGGGAUAACAGCGCA